CGACCUAUAGAGACAAUAACUCAACAACAUCAUAAUCUCAUGUUCAAGUAAGUAAAAAUAACAAUUUUUCUUUUUUAUUUGCCUACUGAUAUCCAUGGGGGUCUAUAGGGAUGUCCCACUACGUGUAAACCAACAUAUAACCUUAUCAAUUACUGGUCGUCCCCAUACCCCAUCUGGUAUGAGUGCCAAAAAUAUCAAUCAUUAAUAUCUCGUCUGCUAUGAGGGUAAAACGGGUCAUC
rnacentral:lncRNA from 1 species